GACGAACGCUGGCGGCGUGCUUAACACAUGCAAGUCGAACGCUGAAGCUUGGUGCUUGCACUGGGUGGAUGUGUGGCGAACGGGUGUGUAAUACGCGUGUAAACCGCGCUUGAUUCUGGGAUACGCCUGUGAAACUGGGUCUAAUACUGGAUAUGACAUGUUUCCGUGCGGUGGUGUGUGUAAAGGGUUUUUCUGGCUUUGGCUGGGCGCACGGUUUAUCAGCUUGUUGGUGGGGUAAUGGCUCACCACGUCGACGAGUGGUAGCCCACCUGAGAGGGGGACCGGCCCCACUGGGACUGAGGCACGGCCCAGACGGCUACGGGAGGCAGCGGUGGAAAAUAUUGCACAAUGGGCGGAAGCCUGAUACAACGACUCCGCGUGCGGAAUGACCGCUUUCGGGGUGUAAACCUCUUUCAGCUCGGAAGAAGCGAAAGUGACGGUACGUGCAGAAGAAGCGCCGGCUAACUACGUG
rnacentral:rRNA from 1 species